rnacentral:misc_RNA from 1 species
ACGAGUUAGGGUCCUCUAGGCCCGACCUCCCAACCCUUUGCUUACUGAACCUCUGUUGCUUCGGCGGGCCCGUCUCACGACCGCCGGAGGACCGCCGCAGGGCGUGUCCUCUAGCCCGUGUCCGCCGAUAGCCAACUACAAAGCUCUGUAUAAAUCAUGUCUCAUGUCUAAGUCAAAUUGAAUUAAAAGCA